GCACUCUUAGCUCAGUUGGUAGAGCAACUGACUCUUAAUCAGUGGGUCCAGAGUUCGAGCCUCUGAGAGUGUA
rnacentral:tRNA from 2 species